GCGUCUGUGAUCUAAUGGCUAUGAUCCUGGCCUUCCAAGCCGGGUAUCCGGGUUCAAAUCCCGGCGGACGCA
rnacentral:tRNA from 1 species